UGAGGACUGAGCCGGUCGGGCUGGGGACCUGAAGCAGGACGGCACUGCACCGGGACUGGGCGGGGCUCGCCGUUGACGCGCGCCGGCCAAGCCCGGACCAGCGUCGGGACCUUCCUGUGGAAAGCCUCAGCUGCGCGGCGUCCGAGGGCUUCGUGCCCAAAGUGCUAUGCUUCGGCCGGCAAAAAACAGUCAACUCAGAACUGGCACGGACCGGGGGAAUCCGACUGUCUAAUUAAAACAAAGCAUUGCGAUGGCCGCUGGUCGGUGUUGACGCAAUGUGAUUUCUGCCCAGUGCUCUGAAUGUCAACGUGAAGAGAUUCAUCAAAGCGCGGGUAACGGCGGGGUAAACGGCGGGAGUAAGUAACUAAUAAACAGGCAAUAAAGGGGCGGCAGGCCAGAAGAGAGCAGCGGGAGUCGCCGACCCCGCAGACCGGGGGAAGCAAACCAGAAGAGAGACGGGAUAACGCAGAGAGCAACACUGGUAUUGCUCUGGAAACAGAACGUGUCCCGCCCCCGGGGGACCUAGAUGCUGAUGCCUGCUCGAGUAGCGCAACUGAAGAUUCCGAGUUGUUCUUGGGAAAGACUAAGCUUGCGGAGUGGCUGGAGGAGCACUGUAACUCCGGAGGCACGGCGGAUGAAAAGAGCUUGAACCAGGUGAUUAGGACGGCUCUUCGGGGAGAACCGUUUGCAGUUGAUCUUGACCGAGUUUUGAGUAGGUACGAGCAUCCUGCGGAGAACGGUCGUCAACCUGCCCCGGAGGAGCACUUAAGUAGAAGAAAUGCUAGGAAGAAGGAAUACCGCAUCGUCCAAAACCUUUACAACAAGAACCGUAAAGUAUGUGCUCAACGAGUCUUGGA
rnacentral:ncRNA from 1 species